UCGGUUCCCUCUGCGGGCGAAGGGUGGAGAACCUUCCACGGGGACGCGGAUCAGCGGGACAGAGCACGCAGGGAAAGUGUGGGGACUGAGGAGGGGACGGAGGUGUACCCGUAAGUUCGGUCCCGCCCCUCAGCGGCCUGCGCGCCCAAAUAAAUUAAGGCGGGAGCUGAGCCCAGGCGCCAAGCACGACCUGGCCUUGGGUCCGGAGCUCAGGAGCCCUGGGAGACCUUAAAGCCCGAGGCCCCUCCGCUCCCGUGCCUGGGGCAGAGACGUCGCUGGUCAGGUGCCGGACCCGCCUUGGUCCCCCUUCCUGAGAUGCACGGGACAGGAUGCGUCCUCAGCGACACCUGCUGCCUCCUCGCCACUGGCUUCUGCCCUCUGGGUCGCACUUGCCGCGCCUCCCUGGCUGUCACCUUAUAAGGUGGACCCAAAGCAAAGGGUAAGUUGGAGCCUCCAGCCUCAUCCUCUUCCCUGCCUCCUCUCUGAACUUCUUGGGUCGGGGGUUUAACCAUUUGCAUUUCCACCUUUGGUCUCAUCACUUUCAUUCUGAAAAGAAAGAAUUUCGGGCCCCUAAUGAAAGUCCCGUCCGAAAUCAACGUGGUUGAAGGCAGUUGUCAGCUAGACUGCCAUCAAGGAUAGUUUUGAGUGGAUUUUGUGCCCCUGGAGCCUAAACCUUCAGAGAAAACGCUGAGAACAAAAGCGAAAGCAAAAUGUUCCGAGGUCAGAUAGACAGUGUCCAGCUCUGCCGCCUGCAUGAGGCAGAAAGAAUCUUUCUUUUUCUUUUGAGAUGCUGAAGAUUGAAUACAAGGGCGCUCUAUCAGGAGCUACAUCCUCUGCUUCUUUAAUUUUUUUUUUUUUAAAUUUUGUGACUGCAUGUUGCUAAAUGGUCCAGGCAGACCUCGAUUUGCAAUCCUCCUGCUUUAGCCUCCAAGAAGCUGGGAUCACAGGCAUGUGUUGCAGCACCUGACUAUGAUUAACAUCUUAAAGUUUCCUUUGGUCACUUCCAUCAUUAUCUCUAGAUCCAAUCAUUUGAACAUCUAUCCAGCCACCAGGUAAACAUCAUUUCAAUAACUUCAAAUACCCACUCAAACCAGUGUGGGGAUUAGUGUAAUGAUCACCUGAGCCUGAGAAGACUCCAGCUUCUUGAUGAGUGGUCUACCACUUCUUGGCUCCUGGUCUACCACCUCUGACACAGCCAUUCAGAGGUCCAGACACAGGAAGAACACACAGGGCCCCAUCUCAUGGCCUGGGCCUCAGGCCUGUGGCAUCAGAAUGGGGGGAACUAACUGCUUAGUUAGGAAAGCCCUGGCUAGGGAUCAGCUUGUUUAAGUGCAGGACUCUUGCAUAAUCUCUUUAUUGACCUCUUUCCUUCCACCAGAGAGCACUGACCAGAAGUGCAAAUUGAUGCAGGAAAAUGUUUUAAAAAAAUGAGUGCAACAGUCAUCAGUCAAAAAUGUCAUGACAUCUAUUUCAGAAAGUACAAUCUACAACUCACACUCUUUCAGUCAACUCUAGAGCUGAUUCCAUCUCCAUUUGGUAUCUGGUUUGAGUUUCGCAGCCAGAAACCUCCUCCUGACUCACUUGCUCUACUUGACCAAUCUCCUUGGAACCUAAACCUUCAGAAAAAACUCUGAGAACAAAAGCAAAAUCAAAAUGUUCCAAGGUCAGAUAGGGAGUGUCCUAUUUUAAUUAGAAUAUUAUAUAUGUAAGAGGGAUUCAUUAUGGUCCAUUCGCAUAUGGACAUAGCAUGAUUUGGUAGACUUUGUUCCCUAUGUCCUUCCCUCCUCCCUCCCUCCCAAUCUCCUUUUUCUACUCUAUUGCCAACUUGGACCUUUAAGGAGCAAAUAUUCUUUAUAGGCUUUCUGUGUUCAAAAUAUUUUUAGCACACUUUGUAAACAAUUCCAAAGUCCUCUUAUCAAGUUCCCGUUACUUGUUUAUUCUUUCAGUAAUCUAGACACUGCUCUGAAAGUGUUUUUGUAGUUGUAAUUAUCAAUCAGUUGGCCCUCCAAUAGAAAUAUCUUUCCAGGUAACCUGAGUGGGCCCAGUGCCAUUAGAUGAGCCCUUAAAAUAAGAGAACUUUCUCAGGCUGGAGUCAAGAAGGAUGAAGCAGAAAGAAAAGUUAGACUCCAAGCAGGAGAAGGAUUAAAUGCACUGUUACUGGAUUUGAAAUGUGUGGACCAGAGAGAGGCCUCUGAAAGUUAAGGAGUGCCCUGCUCACAGCCAGCAAGGAAGUGGAUUCUGCCAACAAUCUGAAUGCCCUUAGAAGCAUAUCUUUUCAAGAGCUUCCACAUCACAGUUUAGCUGUUUAACAUCUUGAUUUUGACCUUGUGAUACUCAAAGUGGAGACAUCAGUUGAGCCAACUCAUAUUUCUGACCCAUAGAACUGUAAGAUAAUAAAUAUGUUGAUUUGAGCAGCUAGGUUUGGGGUCAUUUGUCAUGACUGCAAUAGAAAAUGAAUACGAACUCCUUCAAACUUAAAUGAGAAUUUGACUGGAAAUAAAAUUCUUUUCUUCAAUGCUUUAAAAAUAAUAUUUCUUUAUUUGCACAUGACCAGGGUGGCUGUCCAGGUGUCUGUUGCUCUAUAUCUUUCUUACUUGUUUCUCAGGGCAUUCUGGGAAAGAAGGAUGUGGGUUUGUCAUCUCUGCUGAGUUUUGCAGUUUACUUGGUUGCUGGUCAUGGUCUCUUGGAGUGGGGGAGGUUUAAUUUCUUUCUCUACUUCUUCUGAGGUGCACUCAUAGAUAUGUCAAACUCAUUGUUCUUGUUUUAUUCAGCUACUACUAGUCUCAUAUUCCCCUCUCUUUUAUAAAAAUCAGAAUCAUUGAGAUAAUUUAAGACAACACUCCUUUUUGUGUUUAAAGUCUCUUAUCUUGGGGAGUAUGUUAGAAAUAUGUAGGCUUUUGCUAAUUUAUGUGGCAUAUUCUCAGGGCUACAGAAUUAAAAAGAGGUGCAUGGUAUUACUUCUGCCAUGAGUCAUCUUACCAACGAGUAAAUUUUGAAAAUCUUAUUUCCAUGCAGAACCCUCUUCAGGUUUACAGAGGGGAAAAGAAAACCAAUUUUUUUUUCAAUAAAAACAUAUAAACUUUUAAACAAAAUGAAUGCUGGAAUUACAUUAAGUUCACUUUGACUUCCAGGAUUUUAUAGAUUUCAUAAAACCAGUCCAUGUUAUCCUAGAUUUAUUGUAAUUAUAAUAGGUAUUUUAAUAAAACAUCAUCCUUUUCAGUCAAGGAAGCAUGUGUUAAUAAUAGGCUUUAACACUAGGCAUACUGUUAGCUUCAUUCAUCAGAUAUUAUGAGAUAUUAAACAGAUUUAGUAACAGAAUUUUGUUACUAAAUUAUAAAUAUAUGUAAAUAUUUUGAAAGAUCAGACUUGUUCUUUGAGAAGUAUACUAACAUUUUGCUUUUGAAAAGAAAUCAUCAUUUAUGGAUUUCACAUAUAGAAUGGCACACUGGAAAUCAUGUAAAGUCAAGAGAAUUGUACAUUUAGAGUACAAAUGAGCAUGGAAAUACUUAUUACUGGAGCCACUUCAUGGGAUACCUCUAUGUUUACUGCCACGUGAGCAUUUUUCUGCUUAGAAACGGCAUGACCCUGUCAGCUCUGGCUGACAGACACCAGGUGACCUAGCAACAGUGGAACAGGAACUUAUUUCAAAUAUUCUUAUUCAUUUAUUUAUUUUAUUUGUUCUUUUUAGUUAUACAUGACAGUAGAAUGGGAUUUGACAUAUUUAUACAGACAUGGAGUACAUCUUACUCUAAUUAGGAUACCAGCAUGUGGUUGUACAGAUGUGGUGAUUCACUGUGGUGUAUUUCAGAUCUCCUUUUGCAAAGCGUUUUAUCUAAGAUCCCUCCUCCUCAACAAACUAGCAAACAAGCAAUACCAGCAACAAUAAUGAACAGCAUUGAAGCCUCUGAUGCUUGCACUAUGGGAUGGGAAUUAGAACUGGAGUGAAUUAACAUUUAUCUACUUUUAAAAAUGGUGCAUGGACAAAAUGAGAAGCCAAAAACGUGCAUUUCUCAUGAGACUAUUUUGCUUUGUUAGGCAUGUGCCAAAUAUUGAAUUUGACAUUGAGAAAAGCAGAUAAUUGCUUUUGUUUUCCUUUUUCUAAUUUUUUUUAACCGAAAAGGCAUUUUCUCUUUUUUCCUCCCACAAUAUGAAAAAAUUGCUUUUCAAAGGAUACUAUCUAUUUUUGUUACUGUCAGAAUAUUUCUGAUAUUACUGACAUAUUCUUUAUAUCAGUAAUCCUCAUCUCAAAGGAAUAUGCUUGCCUUCUGUAUGAUUUCAGCUUGUAGAACUUCCUUACCAAGGACUAUUUGAACUCUACCUUUCUCUUAUUUUGCAGGAAUUCUUUCUUACAAUAGUUUUGGUCUCCACUCUUGGUCAAAAGAUGCAUUUUCCUGGUUAUAACAUGGAGUGUCCCUGUCAUUAGUGUUCCAUGGCUGAGUCCAAGUGCACUGCAAGCAAUGCCUAUUUUUUCACAGAUCCUGGAUUCAUCAUUUGUUUGGUAGCCCUUGGUGGGAAGAGGAUGGCUGGGCUCUGAGAGGAAGUGGACAUGUGGCCUGUG
rnacentral:lncRNA from 1 species